ACCAAACGCCGAGUUAAGGCGCCUAAACGACGCUAAUGGGAUGCCAUGAAAGGUUUUGGUUGCUUAGGACAGCAGGACGGUGGCCAUGGAAGCUGGAAUCCGCUAAGGAAUGUGUAACAACUCACCUGCCAAAGCAACUAGCCCUGAAAAUGGAUGGCGCUGAAGCGUCGUGCCUAUACUCGGCCGCCUGGCCAUGAGAAACGUUCAUAAUAGUUCGUUUUGACGCCCUGGUGAGUAGGAGGGUCGCGGUGGUGUGCGCAGAAGGGUUUGGACGUAAGCCUGCCUGGAGCCGCCAUCGGUGCAGAUCUUGGUGGUAGUAGCAAAUACUCCAGCGAGGCCCUGGAGGACUGACGUGAAGAAGGGUUUCGUGUAAACAGCCGUUGCACACGAGUCAGUCGAUGUGAAGCCCCAGGAGAAAUCCUAUGUUGAUGUUGGUGUAUUUUAUUUUGAAUAAAAUUUCACACCCAUCGGGCGAAAGGAAAUCCUGUUCCUAUUCCGGAACCCAGCAGCGGAACCGUUUACAAGUCGGGCCCUCGCAAGAGAGUUUGUCGGGGUAACCCAAAGUGACCUGGAGACGCCGUCGGAAAAUACGGGGAGAGUUUCUUUUCUGUAUGAGCGUUCGAGUUCCCUGGAAUCCUCUAGAAGGGAGAUAGGGUUUGGAACGCGAAGAGCACCGCUGUUGCGGCGGUGUCAGUAUCUUCCCCUCGGACCUUGAAAAUCCAUGAGAAGGCCACGGUAGGUGUCGCGCCGGUUCGUACCCAUAUUCGCAGCAGGUCUCCAAGGUGAAGAGCCUCUAGUCGAUAGAUAAAUGUAGAUAAGGGAAGUCGGCAAAUUGGAUCCGUAACUUUGGGAUAAGGAUUGGCUCUGAGGAUCGGGGCGUGCCGGGCUUGGUUGGGAAGCGGGCCUAGGCCGAUGUGCAAAACAAAGCAUUGCGAUCGCCCUAGCGGGUGUUGACGCAAUGUGAUUUCUGCCCAGUGCUCUGAAUGUCAACGUGAAGAAAUUCAAGCAAGCGCGGGUAAACGGCGGGAGUAACUAUGACUCUUUUAAGGCGCCCUACUCCCAAAUACCCUACUCAAUAUAUCCCUCUUUUCCAAACUUCCUAAAAGCACUGGCCUAACCUCCCAUGUUGCCCUAAGAACAUCGAUCGAAAUGAGCAAUAUAUUUCUCGACGGAUAGUGUGCGAUGUUGGCGGUUCCCCACACAAGUACACUCGGACCAUGACUUGCACUGACGUAACUAAUUUGAACUGGGCGGUGACCUCCUGAAGCGCACCUCGCAUGUGUCGGAGCUGCGGGUUUAAAUGAUUCUCAUAUACUCAUUUAUUGAUUCCUAACAGCGCAGAAGGACAGUCACGGAAGGCCCAUUUGUGAUGUCUGUAAUGUCCCAUUUAUGUUAUGUGUAGCCCUUCUGGCUUGUGAGGCAUUUGACAGGUUAUUAUUUCCCCCCCUUGUUUCCCUUUGUUAUCCUAUAAUAGCCUGUCAAAGGCAGCAGAUACCUCCGCGCGGUGCCCCGUGGGCAGUCCUCGAUCGCACUGCGUCCCUACGGGGAUUCAGGGCGAUCGGUGGAUGACUAAACUCUGCUGUUCCCUGCAAAGUAGGUUGUGGAUGGACCUGCGAGGGAUCCUCUACAUCAGUGUUGAAUUAGACCGGUAGCGAUCCGCGUUGCUGCUACUC
rnacentral:rRNA from 1 species